UCCCGGGUUGUCCAGUGGUUAGGACUCAGCACUUUCACUGCUGGGGCAUGGGUUUAAUCCCUGGUCAGGGAA
rnacentral:tRNA from 1 species